UGGAGUUUCUCUCUGUCCUGACUUUACUACCUCUGUCUGGGUUGAUUUUGGUGCAGGCCUACCAAAACUAGGCAGGGGGAUAGUUGAAAUGGUCCCUCCAGCCAGAGGGGUGAUGACUGUUUCCCUUCAUUUUUGCUUCAGAUCCCAAAAGACGCCAGUUUGCUGUUCUAGAGGAGAUGGCGGGCCUGAAUCUUGCUGAACAUCAUCGUCUGGAAGUGACCGGUCGCUGAGCCUCCCUCCCAUUGGACUCUGCAGCCAAAAUGGUUCAGAGGCCCCUUGCAGGGCAGCGAGAGAAGCUUUAUCCCUUUAUUAUUAGACUGAAAGUUCAAGUGUU